rnacentral:misc_RNA from 1 species
GUCCAAUUUGUCAGUAUAACAUGUUAGGCAUCUUUCCAUAAAAUUUCAUAAUUUUUUGGAGUUGAUUUACUAUUUUAGUAAUUGUUGCAAGAUUGUUACCCUAUACGGUGACUUUAUGACUUUAUGUUGAGUUUAUGUCUUUGUUCUUAAUUUUAUUUAUUUGGAUCAUACUAACCAUUUAAUUUCUAUUUUGCAUGAGUUCGAUAGACGUUAUUUUGAUGUUAUGGUGAUUGAAUGGGAAAGGGCUAGGGUUUGGAACCCUAAGACGAAUUGUAGCACCCUUAAAAUUUUAUUUUGAUUUCUUAUUUUAUUUUAAUUUAAUUUAUUUUAAUUAAUUAAUUAAUUAAAUAGAUUU